ACGGCCACAUCACGUUGAAACACCGAUUCCCGUACGACCAUCGAAGUUAAACAACGUCGAGCCUGAUCACUACCUAGAUGGAUGACUGCUUGGGAAUAUAUGGUACUGUAAG